ensembl:snoRNA
UGCCUCGAUGUGUUGCCCGUUCACUGCGUCCUCCGGUGGAUGUGGCGUCAACCGAGGCAUACAGUAAAUCUUGGAUCGGCCUUUGGGAGGCUUCCCGUCGGAGGCCUCGUCCUAAGUUCUAUACCAAGAACAGAA